GAUUAACGCUAGCGGCAGGCCUAAUACAUGCAAGUCGAACGGCAGCACGGGUAGCAAUACCUGGUGGCGAGUGGCGCACGGGUGCGUAACGCGUAUGCAAUCUACCUAUAACUGGGGAAUAGCCUUCCGAAAGGAAGAUUAAAACCGCAUAAUAUCACGAAGCGGCAUCGUUUUGUGAUCAAAUCUCCGGAGGUUAUAGAUGAGCAUGCGUGACAUAGCUAGUUGGUGAGGUAACGGCUCACCAAGGCUACGAUGUCUAGGGGGUCUGAGAGGAUGAUCCCCCACACUGGUACUGAGACACGGACCAGACUCCUACGGGAGGCAGCAGUAAGGAAUAUUGGACAAUGGGCGCAAGCCUGAUCCAGCCAUGCCGCGUGCAGGACGAAGGUGCUCUGCAUUGUAAACUGUCUUUUGUUUGGGAAUUAAACCCUUCUACGUGUAGAGGGCUGAAUGUAACCAAAAGAA
rnacentral:rRNA from 1 species